AUAGUACAGAAGAUAGAGCUAUACUAAAGAGGUAAAACUACUUAAUGCUGCAUGUCUGAUCAUGUGAACUUCCACCUGAGACGACUCCCAAAUACUUAUGCAAUUAAUUUUAGCUACUUCUAUUUCAUAUCUCCCAAUAGUCCCUCGUAUACAAGUGUUUUAGCAAGCUCUGUAACUGAUGCACUAUUGCACAGAAAAGCAGAGGGAUGUUCCAGUGAGGUAAUGUAUUCAAGCGCUACAUACACCGUAGCAUCUCUAAAGGCCUUCGUCUUUAGUGUGCCGGCUUUGGUCAGCGGUUCGUGCACUGGAGGAAGAUCUGGAGUUUAUUUCCGUCUUUUCUGCCGAAGCGCGUCGAUGGAGUUGUGAAAACGCCGACUUCGAAGUCGUAUUUCCUGCCUGUUGUCGGUGGAGAGGCAGAGUGAUUGACAUCGUCCCCCCCCUCUCAGCGGUCAAAAUAUUGGACCCGUGCUGCCUCGGCCCCGGCUGUGGCUAUCUCAAUGAAAGAUUGAUGUGGCUCUUCAGGUAGAUACAAAGCUAAGUGUCUUGUUUAUUAAUGUGCUGUGAUUGGAUCCAUUAGCUGCCUUGUGUAAACUAAUCGCCGUAUAAUGCGUGUUGUCAUUUCAGCCUAACUGCUGAUAAUGUAUUCCUCCCCCGUCUUUGCAAAUGCUGUUAUUUUCUAAUAGACUCGUGGAAAUAAUGUUGUGUCAGGAGUAAGGAUUUUUCUUUCCAUUCGGUCUGCUGAACAGUAAGCAUGUUUCACAUUGAUUGCUGAAUAUGCUGUAUACUUCAGCCUGCUGUUAUCUGAUAUGAGCAGUUAUAUUUGGGGGGGGGGUUCGGUGCAGAAUGCGACUCCAUUUGGGCGACUCGAGUUGUGAUAGGAAAAUCUUUCCCUUUUUUAAAAAUCUAAUUCUACCUGGUAUAAAGUGCAGAUUUACUGCCAAUACAGGCAGGAGUGUUUAGCUUGAAAACAAAUUGGGUCAAAUCUCAGCUGCAUCCUGGAAUAUGAGUGCAGACAACCUUUCCCUUCUGCAUGACAUGACAUCCACAAACACAUCAGCGCAGCGGCAACACCGGGGACGAAGAUUAUUGACUCGUAAUAGCAGAUCUAAUAGUAUCGCUUUCACAAAAGGAUAAAAAAAACAGCCUGGCAGAACCAUAACAGUAUCAUAACCACGCUGGCUGACAUCCAGCUUGCCAUCCUUGGGGAUCAAUUUCUUCAAAGCAUAAUGUAUCUCUUUUAUUCUCCAUCUGAGAUGCAGAGUUGGUGAUCUCAAGGUGCACAGAGACACUUUGAAGUGCAAAAGAGUCAGUCGGAGCAAGAGAUGGAAGAUUCACAGCCCCGGUUUCUCCCCGCUGAGAUCCUCUGACCUCAAGUGAGCAGAGUGAAACUAAGCAAAUUGAAAAUAAGUUUAGUAGUGCACGCUGCAGUUCAAUGUACACACUGG
rnacentral:lncRNA from 1 species